UCUUGUUGAGAAGAUGGAAAUGGCACUGUGACACAGUCUCCAGAUCCCCAUUGGCAUAACAAUCAACCUCCUGCGGCACUGGCACAAGAAACAUGGAUGAGCACCAACAAGGGAGUCUACAUUGGAAUCUCUGUUACUGUUUUGGCAUUGUUGCUCAUGUUUGUGGUUUUCUGGAUUAGGAGAAGAUAUUUUUGCCUGGGUAGCAAGGUGGAGCUACUACGUGUGAUUCCAUUGAAAGAGUCUGUCAUUGGAGAUUUGAAAAAUGCAGCUCUGAAGCCUAUCCAAGCAGAAAACGAUAUCUAAAUUAUUGAAGACUAAGUCCUGGAUCCAGAUUCUAAGGUGUUAUGCCCUUGACUGUAGAAGACAGUGACCAGAUACCGUGUCAGAGUCCUUUCAGUCAGCUGCACAAUU